AGUGAACGCUGGCGGUAGGCCUAACACAUGCAAGUCGAACGGCAGCACAGUAAGAGCUUGCUCUUACAGGUGGCGAGUGGUGAGUGGGUGCGAAAUACAUCGGUAUUUGCUUGUUCGUAGGGGAUGACGUAGGGACACUUACGCUAAUACUGCUUAGGACCUAAGGGUGAAAGCUGGGGAUCUUCGGACCUUGCGCGAUUGAAGGAGCCGAUGUCGGAUUAGCUAGUUGGCGGGGUAAAGGCCCACCAAGGCGACGAUCCGUAGCUGGUCUGAGAGGAUGAUCAGUCACACUGGAACUGAGACACGGUCCAGACUCCUACGGGAGGCAGCAGUGGGGAAUAUUGGACAAUGGGCGCAAGCCUGAUCCAGCCAUGCCGCGUGUGUGAAGAAGGCCUUCGGGUUGUAAAGCCCUUUUGGUGGGAAAGAAAGGCAGCAAGUUAAUACCCCGCUGUUCUGACGGUACCAAAAGAAUAAGCACCGGCUAACUUCGUG
rnacentral:rRNA from 1 species